AAAUGCAAAGAUAAAAACGCAAUGCACACUUAAAAGUGUGCUAGAGCUGGUAGGUAGCCCAGCCGUCCUAUGUAAGUAGGGUAAGUAACCUGCCCCUCCGGGUUGUCCAAUCUUUGUUCAACAAUU
rfam:Blautia sp. CAG:257 genomic scaffold, scf4